rnacentral:lncRNA from 1 species
AUUUGAAUAUCAUCAUUAGACAUUCCUCUUUCACAAUUUUCUAUCGACCAAAAAUUAAUUAAUUCAGUUCAAUUAAUCCCCUUGCAUUAUUUAAUUUAUAAACUUUGAUAAGAUCUGAACAAUUUUCUAGAGAGAACUACAUUAUUUGUGAGAACGGGAGAACCAUCAAAUCUAAUGCAUUCACUGUAAAAAAUUAAUGCAUUUGCUGUUAAAAUUAAUGCACUAAAAAAAAUAAAAAAAAUUGCUCCCUUCAGGAUUCGAACCCAGGAUCUGCAUUCAUCCAACAAGAUGAU